UUCUCAGAAAUUCAUCUUCAUAUGGAUUUUAAUCUAUAGGGUUUCUUGAUUUCUUGAAAAAAAUUGGUUCUUUUGUAUCUUUCUUUUUAUAUAUAUCUGUUUAGUAACUCGAAAGAGUGAAAAAAAUGGCUACUGUGAACCCAUUCGACCUUUUGGAUGAUGAUGCUGAGGACCCAAGUUUGUUAAUUGCUGCUCAGCAGCUAAAGCAUGUGGCUCCUGUUGCAUCUGCACCAGCCAAGAAGGCUCAAGCUCAGCCUACUAAGCCUGCUGCUAAGUUGCCGUCAAAGCCAGUUCCUCCUUCUCAAGCUGGUAAUAAUCAAUUUCUAAUAAUUUUUGAACAUUUUGAGUUUUGGAUUGCUGUAUAUUCCUUCAUACUUUGUGUUUUUGGGUUUAUACUUUGUGUGAAAUUGGCACCAAUGAAACUGAACUAGUUUAGAAGUUUUUUUUUUAUAGUUGACCCCAUUAGUUUGGAUUGAUAUGUAAAGUUCUUAUUUUCAUUGUCGUUAUUGAUAUAAUUGAAGAAGUAAUGUUAAUAUACCAUGUUUGUGCUUUUUGGGUGUUUUGUGUAAGGUAUUAGAUACAAUAUGAGGAAAAAGAUAAGUGUGUAGAAAAUUUUGUGCAUUGGUUCAUAUUUUAAGUUUAAACCAGCAGCAAGGGGCUGAACUUAAGUAGACAGUUCAUAUUGGUGUCCCAGUUAGUUUAGUUUGGAUUGAGAUGUAGUAGUUCUUAUUGUUAUUGCAUUUGUUGUAAUAGUAAAUGAAUAUGGCAUUUUGUAACAUUUUUUCUGCAAGAUGUUGGGUAAUAUAUGAUAGGUGAGGAAAACGAUUGAGCCAGUAGAAAAAUUAGUUGUUUCGCCUUAAAUGAGAAUUUGUGCUAUUUGCAAGGUGAUGCUUGGCUUCGUCUUUUCUUUCGUUGUUUAUUCUCUUGCAGCAUGAAGUAUUUAUCUUGGAACUUUUGCUUUUCUCUUCCCCAUGUGACACUGUUAGACUAUAGAAAUUAAUUUAAGUUCCAUGCUUAAACUUUUAGGCUAUAAAAAUCAGUUAAUCAAGCUUUUAGGCUAUACAAAUAUGUGGAAUUAAUGGUAGGUUUGUUUAAGCAAUUGUUUUCUGUCUGUUAUUUAGUAAAUAUGAUCCUGUGCAAAUGACAGGGAGAUAAUUUCCUCUGUGAUUGUGAAAUUAAAGUACGGUUAUGGACAUAUGAUAUGGGUAUUUGGUUGGCCGGAAAUUGUGUGACAGUUUAUAUAGAUCUUUUAUUGAAAACAGCAUUCUUGUGUUUCCUUAUUGUCGCCUCUGUCUGGUGUGUCAUAAUUGGUGUUGUUGCUAUUGUGUUCAGUAGUGAUCAUAUUUCUACAACAGGCAAAUAAGCUCUUUGGAAUAUGCUGCUCUUUAGUUUUUCUUCAUUGUUGUUCAGUAUUUUCAUAAACUUCUAGGUCAUGUAUAGAGUCUCUUUACCUAAUUUCUGUGCUGUACUAUAGAUGCUUUCAUAAAUAGUACAAUUUUUCCCAUUGCUUAUUUGUGUAUUUAUUUUGAGCAGUGAGGGAAGCCAGGACUGAUGGCCAGCGAGGAGGCGGCCGUGGGGGUCCACGUGGAGGAGCUCGCGGACGUGGGCGUGGACAUGGGUUUAACCAAGAAUUUACUGAUGAUGGGAAUGCUUUUGGCAGCAAUAAUGGAUUCUCUGGGCGGUAUAGUGCUCCAGAAGAUGGAGAAUCAGGAAAGGUUUCUGAAAGGAGAGGUGGAUAUGGUGGAUCUCGUGGGGGGUUCCAUGGAGGUCGUCGUGGUGGUUUCAAUAACGGGGAUGCUGCAGAAGGAGAAGGGGAACGCCCAAGGAGAGUGUUUGAUCGACGAAGUGGAACUGGCCGUGGGUAAGUGAUUCUGCUAUUUUUGAAAUCCACGCAAGUGCAUUUCACUGUUCCCUUUGUUGGUUGUUGAAUAGCUCUAAGUCGUGCUUAUUGUGGUUGUCUUUGUUUCUUGUGCAUAUGUCUGUAUCUUUAUUGAUCUGUUUUGUUGUCUAGGAAUGAGUUUAUUAAACGGGAGGGCUCUGGUCGUGGGAAUUGGGGAACUACUGCAGAUGAUAUUGCACCGUGAGACUGUCAUCUCAACCUUUUGUUUCUUUAUUGCCGUUGGCUAUGUAUUAAUUUUUUCUUGUAGUUUAAUGUUGGUUUUUAAUCCAAAUUCAGGGUGACUGAAGAAUCUGUUAAUGAUGGUGAGAAGAUUGUCGAUGCUGAGAAACAAUCUGGACAGGAAGAUGCUGGAGACACCAAUAAGGAUUCUUCUGCUGCUGAGCCAGAAGAGAAGGAACCUGAGGAGAAGGUAACUGUUAUCCUGGUGAAGAUCAUUAUUUGUUUUGCUUGCUUACAUGCCCUAAUUCUACUGUUGCAAAUGUCACAGCAUUAUCAUCCUUUUUGUUGAACUCCUGGACUGCCAUUGAAGAAGUUUUAUGUACACUUUUCAACAAAUAAUAUAUAUUUAUUAAAGAAAAUUUCAUCUCAUACCAACUCUAAAAUCCUCCGCAAGUCUCGAAAAUGAAAUUCAGUAAAACAAAUUGAACUUCAAACUCAUAAAUGAUUUUUGCUUAUUGAGUAAUUCUAUUUGCAUUUUUCAAGCAAGUAGUUUAAUGCAUUCUUCGUCCCUUCGGGGACAUCCGAUAAAAAAGUUCAAUGCAAUCAUCCGCCACCAUCAAAAUGACAUGCAAGUCAUACCAACUUGCUAGUGUUAGUUGCAUGUUUCCAGCUGUUUUUAUUCAUGUGUAUCUAUGAUCACUAUCCAGGACUAUUAAUUAUUCAUCUCUGCUUGUGUUGUAGGAGAUGACCCUCGAAGAGUAUGAGAAGGUAAUGGAAGAGAAGAGGAAGGCUUUGGUGGCUCUAAAGCAAGAGGAAAGAAAGGUUAAUUUGGACAAUGAACUUCAAUCCAUGCAACUUCUCUCAAACAAGAAGAAUGAUGAUGAGAUCUUCAUCAAAUUGGUGAGUUAUUUAGUGCUUGCUGCUAUUAUAUUUUGAUUGCUCUAUUAGGAACUUGAUUGUGUUGUAUGCUGGUAUAUUCAUCAUGCUUGAAAUUUUAUGUCUGGGCAGGGUGCUGAGAAAGAUAAGAAAAAAGAAGCAGUGGAAAAAAACAAAAAGGUACUUUAGCUUCUUUUUUUAAAGUGGCUGUAUUGGUAUUAUAGCAUCAUUUCUUUAUGCAUUUUUUGAGAAUCACUUCCAUUUCAAUAACUCUUUAUUUGUCAAAAGUUAUCCACACACUGCCUACCACAAUCAAGGAGACUUUGUUCCACAACCGUAUCAAAAGCCUGCACUUUAUCAGUUCCAACUCUAUCAGUUAAAUAACUCAUCACCAUUCUACAUCCAACAGGGGCGCAUAGCUGGCCCCCAUCCAUUUCCCUCUUGCGAUACUUCUUCGCUAUUGGUCUUUUGCCUGUUAUUAGCCUUGGAUGGAAUUCGCCCUGCAAGCACAAGCCCCUCCUAACAGAGAAAAAUUGUCUUUUCUUUUUAUACCUUUAGAAUUCCGGAAAAUAAAUUCGAGUAAAUGCUCUUUUAGACUGGAAGGUCAACCUCCACCCAUACUGACAACACCAACAUAAUUGUAAUAUCAUGUAUACAGUUAUGUUGGUGUCAUCAUUAUAAUUUUCCUCUAUGUAGUGUAUACAAGUUUUUGCAGGUUCAGUACUAUUGUACUCCCCAACUGAGUACACAGUUAUGCUGGUGUCAGUAUUUUACUGUUCCUUUUUCAGAAUGCUUUGUCAUUCCUUGUUUAGUAUUUUACUAUGGUUUCCUCACUCCUGUUAUUUUCUUGAGCGGCGUGUCUAUCGGAAUCAUAUCUACGUGCCAAGUUAUUGCAUAUUGGUUUUCUUUUUCACAUGAAGAGGGUGAAAGUUUACACUUCAGUAGGACCCCAUCUUGUAUAAUAUUCUAAAGACAAGACAUUGAUCCACGAAUGGGUUUGAGUUCAAUAAAUUUAAUUACUGUUUCAAUUGUGAGGCUUGAUACAUUCAAUUUCUUGCAGACAAAAAGCAUAAAUGAGUUCUUGAAGCCUGCUGAGGGAGAAAGUUACUAUCGCCCUGGUGGCCGUGGUAGGGGCCGUGGCCGUGGAAGAGGUAAUGGCGGUGGAUAUGGUGGAAUCAACAGUGUUUCAUCCCCAUCCAUUGAAGAUGUUGGUCAAUUCCCCUCCCUGGCUGCUAAGUAAGGGAGCAAGGCCUGCAUGGAUUAGGAAAAAAAGGAAGCAAAAGCAACUGUUGUCGUCUGAUCCGUCUUCCUUUUUCCGCCAUUUAUGAUAUUUCCCGGAACCUUUGGGCAUAUUUGUAUUAGAUUUUUUUUUUUUGGAAACUUCAUAAUUGUUCUUUAGAGUAUAGAUUUAGAUGUUUUCUGAAGGUGUAUGCCCUGGGUUUUUGUUGACUUCUUUUAUACAUUUAUGAAAACCCUUUUCCUUCAUAUUUAGGUGUCAGGCUUUAAUCUUUUAUUUUCUUGUUUACUUGGCAAAUCAGUUUUGAUUGGAGUUUAUUUUAAGACAAUUACAUAUGUUUCUCUUUUUCAAUUAUUAAACGUCAUCGUCCCAUAGAAACAAUCUCUCUACCUCCACAUGGUUUGUGUACACUCACUUCUCAAAUGUUGGGUUAAGGUUUGUGUACACUCUACUUCUCAAAUGUUAGGUUCAUGGUAUGUUGUUGAUGUCUAACUCACUGUAUGGUAGUAAUUGUUGAGAAUCUCAAAAUAUUUAAUAUUGAAGUGAAACUGAUCCAAGUAGAGUAAAAUUGAUAAUGAGGAUUCAUAUAAUUGAUCCUUGCUGGUAAUUGAGGUGUUUUCUGCUUAAUCUGAACAUGGUGUAAUAAAGUCAUUUUAUGAACUUAAAAGAGAAAUGACAUAAUGUUACAAGAGUGACUCAUGCACAAAGAUUUAUAUUUUCUGGUUACAAAUUCAAUAUUCUACCAGCAAGAAUAUUUGGUCCUUUUAUUUGGUAUUUUGAAAGUCUUAUCAUGCAAUAAUUGCAAAAGAUAUACGGAGUGUAAAUUCAAGUCUUUUUACUUAAAUUGUGAUGUCGUCGAGUUAGAAGGGAUGAAUCUCUAUUUAUAUUGUUAUUAAAAAUAUAAAUCUACAAGAGAAAUGAUUAGCCAAAUAAGAAAGAGCAAAGUAUUAAACUUUUGAACUUGACGCAAAUUAUUAGUUUCGUUUUAGAAAUAUUGAUAGCUAUAAAAAUACUCUCUACUUGACUAAAUAAAUUUAGAUACACUUUCGAUUUGUGACAUAGUAGGUGAUUUCAAACUCUUGUAGGAGCAUAGAACUUUUAUUAAAAAGUCGAGAUAAAUGUUGAAAGCACUCUUAAACUUGGUGAGAAUUUAGAAGUGUAUAAGGGUGUAUUUAAGUUUAGUUAGUCAAGUAAAGAGAUGUUUUUGAGAUUGUCAAUAGUUUGGAGAUGAAACCAACAAUCACGCCGAGUUUAGAAGUGUUUUUUAAUACUUCUCUCAAUAAGAAAAUCAUGGAAAACAUAUAAUAUCUUGCAUCCUAUCAAAGGAGGAACACAAGUUCAAGAAUUGCUUCCAAACAAAGAAGUAGUUGUUACAAAAGAGCAUUUUGUUGUACUAUUUUUUUAUGCGGAAAUUUGUUUGUUUUUUACCAUCGUGUAGUUUGAUUGAUCAACCAAGCCCGCGCUCCAGUAUAUGGACAAAAGGAUCCUAUUUUUAGGAUUCAAGAUGCAACUUAUGAUCAUUUUUAAUUUAGCAAUAAAACUUUCUAUACAAGUUCAUCUACUGAAACUCUUGAUUUGAAGAUUACAUAAAUAUUUGUUUUACGAUAAAUCCUAUAAGAAUUUCAAGGAAAAAUAUAUAUUUUUUAAUUACAAGAAUGUGGUGAUUUUAUUUUGGACAAAUUAUGCAAAAUGUCAAUCUAUAAGGUUUAUUUACCAUUUUUUUUUACCUCAAUUUAUUUAUUUACUUAAAAUGGCCAUUCGAUCCUAAUUUUUCUUUAAAAAAUGGCCGUCUGCGCUACAUCUUCUUCUUUGUUUUCUUUCUUAUGUUGUUGUUGGUGCUACUUCCUCCUCCUUCAUCUUCCAUUAAAUUUGAUAUACAAAAAAUGUGAAUCGCUUCAAGCGGAUUAUAUAUCAAAAGGCUUGAAAUAUUGAGAGAAUUUGAUAUCUAAAUUUUAGAAUUGUUUAAAAGUGAUUUUGAGUUAAUCGAGAUUGAAUAAAUAAUAUAUAUUUCAUGUAUGGUAGAUGUAUACUAAACUAUAGAUAAGUUAUAUUUCAAAUAUAUCCCAUAUAUAAGUAAGUUAUAGUGUAUAGUUAUUAUAUACUAUCUAUGACUUUUGAUUACUUAAAGUUAAGGGUAAGAUAAAGGGUCAGACAUGGUGGAGUAUGAGCAUCCACUCGACAAUCUUUUUGGCUUGACUAAGAAGUCUUAUGUCCUUCGAGUUGCACAUGCACCUCAUCUUCUCAUUUGGUCGUUGUUCAUUUCCGUUAGGUCGAAGUGUUUGGCCUAUCCUUUUUUGUGCCCGCUCAGAAUUCGUGCACUAACGACAACUCCAAACUUUACACAUUCGCUGCCUACCUACCGUUUAGAUUGCACCAACGAAAUCCAGUAAAGAAGUGUUGCUGCUGCUCCACUCCGCUGCGCUGCGAUUGAUUAUUUUUUAUAUAAAUAAAAUAUGACUAUUGUAAAUCAUGUAAUUACUUUAUUGUAUAUAUUUUAAAUUUAAAAAAACAAACAAACCACAGCCCGGGCCCAUACCCAAAACAUACACUUGAACCUUUCCUCAAACCCCACCCCCUUAACCCCACCAACCCCCCCAACCCCCACACCACCAUAUCUAGGGUUUUUAAGAUUCGGUUCACUUCACUUCCUCAAUUAUCAGCCGCUCUGGCUAGGUUUUCACACUACCCACAAAUUUGUUUCUCUUCAAAAUACCCACAAAUUCAUCUUCGCAUGGAUUUUAAUCUAUAGGGGUUUCUUGAUUUAUUGAAAAAAUUCGGUUCUUUGCAUCACUCUCUCUAUAUAUCUGUUUAGGAACUCCGAGAAGAGUGAAAAAAAUGGCUACUUUGAACCCAUUCGACCUUUUGGAUGAUGAUGCUGAGGACCCAAGUUUGCUAGUUGCUGCUCAGCAGCUAAAGGCUCCUGUUGCAUCUGCACCAGCCAAGAAGGGUCCAGUUCAGCCUACUAAGCCUGCUGCUAAGUUGCCCUCCAAGCCGGUUCCUCCUUCUCAGGCUG
rnacentral:lncRNA from 1 species